rnacentral:tRNA from 1 species
GUCCGAUCGCGGACCGCGCGGCGGUGGAGCGGGCGGUCCGGGUCACCGCCGAGCCGGCCGUGCCGGUGGCCGCGCACUGGUUCGGCGACCAGCGGCUGGACU